rnacentral:rRNA from 1 species
UGAGGAAUCUUGCGCAAUGGGGGAAACCCUGACGCAGCAACGCCGCGUGAGUGAGGAAGGCCUUCGGGUCGUAAAGCUCUGUCAGAUGGGAAGAAAUGGGUGGGGGUGAAUAUCGUCCACCCUUGACGGUACCAUCAGAGGAAGCACCGGCUAACUCCGUGCCAGCAGCCGCGGUAAUACGGGGGGUGCAAGCGUUGUUCGGAAUCAUUGGGCGUAAAGCGCGCGCAGGCGGCUUGGUAAGUCAGAUGUGAAAGCCCUGGGCUUAACCCAGGAAGUGCAUUUGAUACUGCCUCGCUAGAGUACGGGAGAGGAAAGUGGAAUUCCUGGUGUAGAGGUGAAAUUCGUAGAUAUCAGGAGGAACACCGGUGGCGAAGGCGACUUUCUGGCCCGAUACUGACGCUCAGGCGCGAAAGCGUGGGGAGCAAACAGG